AAUCCAUAGGUUAAUGAGGCGAACCGGGGGAACUGAAACAUCUAAGUACCCCGAGGAAAAGAAAUCAACCGAGAUUCCCCCAGUAGCGGCGAGCGAACGGGGAGGAGCCCAGAGCCUGAAUCAGCAUGUGUGUUAGUGGAAGCGUCUGGAAAGGCGCGCGAUACAGGGUGACAGCCCCGUACACAAAAGCGCAUGUGCUGUGAGCUCGAUGAGUAGGGCGGGACACGUGGUAUCCUGUCUGAAUAUGGGGGGACCAUCCUCCAAGGCUAAAUACUCCUGACUGACCGAUAGUGAACCAGUACCGUGAGGGAAAGGCGAAAAGAACCCCGGCGAGGGGAGUGAAAAAGAACCUGAAACCGUGUACGUACAAGCAGUGGGAGCACAGGUUUACCUGUGUGACUGCGUACCUUUUGUAUAAUGGGUCAGCGACUUAUAUUCUGUAGCAAGGUUAACCGCAUAGGGGAGCCGGAGGGAAACCGAGUCUUAAUUGGGCGUUAAGUUGCAGGGUAUAGACCCGAAACCCGGUGAUCUAGCCAUGGGCAGGUUGAAGGUUGGGUAACACUAACUGGAGGACCGAACCGACUAAUGUUGAAAAAUUAGCGGAUGACCUGUGGCUGGGGGUGAAAGGCCAAUCAAACCGGGAGAUAGCUGGUUCUCCCCGAAAGCUAUUUAGGUAGCGCCUCGUGAAUUCAUCUCCGGGGGUAGAGCACUGUUUCGGCUAGGGGGCCAUCCCGGCUUACCAACCCGAUGCAAACUGCGAAUACCGGAGAAUGUUAUCACGGGAGACACACGGCGGGUGCUAACGUCCGUCGUGAAGAGGGAAACAACCCAGACCGCCAGCUAAGGUCCCAAAGUCAUGGUUAAGUGGGAAACGAUGUGGGAAGGCCCAGACAGCCAGGAUGUUGGCUUAGAAGCAGCCAUCAUUUAAAGAAAGCGUAAUAGCUCACUGGUCGAGUCGGCCUGCGCGGAAGAUGUAACGGGGCUAAACCAUGCACCGAAGCUGCGGCAGCGAACGUAUCACUUAAAGCGAUUCAGCGGGUUACGAUUGACGGAGCGAAGCGACGUCAAAGCGUAUACAAAGUCGAGUCGGUUUAAGGAUACGUUCGUUGGGUAGGGGAGCGUUCUGUAAGCCUGUGAAGGUGUGUCGUGAGGC
rnacentral:rRNA from 1 species